UUUAGUAUGGAUGUUAGCUAUUUUUAAGCAAAGUUUGUUAGUUUGUUUGAUUACUUGAUAAACAAGUAUUGUGAAUAAGUUUGUAUAUAAAUAUGAUGUAAACACGCUUUCAUUAUUAAUGAGACAAAGUUUACGAUCAAUAGAAUGUUCUCUUCUUCUCUUCUUCUCUCCUCUCUCAAUAUCGAAUGUGGGAAAAACAAAGGGGUUGAAUUGUGUUGGUUUUUUAUGAUUCUUUUUUUAUUCUUUUUGUGAGUGUUUAAUACUAGAUUGACUUUGAGUGCAGCGGAUAAAACAGAAAAACAAAGAUAAAAGAGAGAUAGAGAGAAAGAGCAGACAGAUGCAAUUUUAUACUAGUUCCUCCCACACCACAACAUAGGAGUAGUCCAGUCUCUUGCACUUUCAAGGGAUUUCAUUAUAAUCUCACAGAUUACAAUUGCUCAAGUACUCUUCCAAGAAACUUCUCAAUGCUCAAGCACCCCUGGUAAAGAAACUUCUUUGCUCAAGGUCACUACUAAGAGAAUUUCACUGCUCAAGGACAACUCCAAGAGACUUCUAUUGUUCAAGCAUGCAAGUAAGAGACUUCCAACUCUCAAAGGGAACUAUGGUCAAAUUAGGCGACAAAUUGUAUUAUUCAGAGUCUGAUAGCAACCUUCCUUCACAAGGAAACAAAACUAGUCAGAAACUUAUGAUACUGACAUGGUUUCAAAGUCUUGACACCUUCUGACCUUCAGAUGCUUCUGAAUAGACUUCCUCUUUUGAUCCAAAUGUUGACUUCAGGUCUCAAGUCGAUGAUGUUUGGUUCAAGCAUAUUCCUUUAAAGGUGUCUUUAUUGGCGUGGCGUCUUCUUCGUAAUCGGGUUCCAACAAGAGAUAAUCUGGUGUGGAGGGGUAUUCUUCUUCCAACGGACGGAGCUUGUGUGGCUGGUUGUGAAACAUUGAAUCGGCAACACACCUUUUUUUGCAUUGUAAUUUUUUCAGUCAAGUGUGGUCUGGUGUGCGGACGUGGUUAGGCAUUAUUCAGUGCCGUCUGGUGAGCUUCGACAUCAUUUUCAUCAAUUCACUAAGAUAGCAGGCAUGCCAAGAACUUCUUUUUUAUUCUUAACUGUAAUUUGAUUUGCAACUGUUUGGGUGAUUUGGAAGGAGAGGAAUAAUCGUUAUUUAAAAACAUGAUGUUUGAUCGGUCAAGACUCAUUGAGCAGGUCAAGCUAACUUCAUUCCUAUGAUUGAAAUAUAAACAGGCGGUUUUAGCUUAUACUUAUCAGGAUUGGUGGAGACACCCGUUGUUAUGCAUGAGUGUGAACGUGUAAUUUAUUUUUUUAGGUUGGUGCCACUUUAUGGGGUACCUUGACACUGUAAUUAUGUAAACUUGUGUUUGGUUUUUCUCUUUGCGCUUCUUGUGCAAAGGGAAAUACCCUUGAGUAAUAUAUAUUUUUUAUUUUGAUUUGUUAAAAAAAAAUAUGAUAGGAUAUGGAAAAUAAAAAAAGAUUAAUAAUUC
rnacentral:lncRNA from 1 species